AUCCAUCCGACGAGUCCCAAAUAGGACGAAAAGCACACCCUGGAU
rfam:Schistosoma margrebowiei strain Zambia genome assembly, scaffold: SMRZ_contig0000011